CGCAAAGUGAGAGCUCCUAAUUGGACCGUGCAACAUCCUCGCUGCCCGGAACCGCCCCCCGACCCAAAGGCCGCCGCUGCUAUUCAAAGAAUGUUGGGAACCAGAACCCAGUAAGAGUGUGUGGAAAUGUGGUAUCGUAGCUCAGACAACGUCGAAAAAUCCUUCUGUUUCUCAACUAUCGUCUCGGCUAAGACCGGAGUCCUGCUGCCUCAACACCAAUGUAAACACCCAUCUGCAGAGGGUGCCAGCUACAGUAAUCACUAUGGAACCUCCUUCUCUCUAGGGCCCUGAGAUCAAGUCCAGCUUUCUCAAUGGUCCAGACAAGGCAAGACCCACCCUUCUUUGGGGAGCACUGCCACAUCUUGCCCUCCCUCUGCUCAUGACCUGGUUUCAACUUUAAGAAACCAGAAUCCACCAGACAGGCCUUCCCAGCAUUUUCCCAGGAAAAUGGCUCCCAGUAGAAGAAAACCAAGGUUUGUGGCCAUUGGCUCUUGCCAUCUCCAUUCAACAUCUCCCUUGGUCACCGUCAAUUUCUUGUUCCGUGCCUGAUCAUUUCUGUCGUCAUGCAAACACACUGUGCACCUCUCGUUCCAAGAAAGCUGUCGCCGCAUCCUUUCACAAGGCAAUUGGGUGAGGCGGGUGUUGGAAGAGCUCUCUACACUCCGAAGAACAAUAAAGGAAGCAAAAAAGCAGGAAACUGUCUGAGGAUGUGCCUGCUAAAGGGAAAAGAUGGCGUGCACCAUGCAUGGGACACAAGAAACAAAGAAGUGCCAAGGGGAGAGCUCACUGCACUCACCCAGUGGGGCAGCCAGAGAGCCAGGACGACAUGGUAGAAAGGAAGCAAAAAGCCAGGAGGGGAAAAGGCAGAAGCUGUAAAGGCUUGAACUAGUGAGGCAGCACCUGCCUCUGAGGGUAAACACGGGUUAGGAAUGGGAGAAAGUGAGAGAUGAGAACCUACGAUCCAGAUGUCGGCCUUGGCAGCUGGGUAAGGAACUAGAACCUCCAGAGCCCUCGACUUGUGACUGUGACUAAUGGUCACGACAAAGCAGGACUCGACUCACUUACAGAGAAGAGAAGGCUCCUUCAUGCUGGUUUAGUAGUGUGAGACCAACUGACUCAAUAAAGUUGACACUAUGGAGAUCUUCAUCUAAAUCUGCUCAAUUCACAACUAAACAGUUGGAGAAGGGGGCAUUAAUUAAUUACUACAGUAUAGACAGUAUUACCUUGAUUUGAAUAUUACCUGAAUUUGAACAACCCGACCAGAGUGGACGAGGGCUGGAUGGACCUCAGUAGUAACAAACUUGCCUCCCAUAUACAAGUGCCUGGGUUUGCCCCCAGCCCCACAGGAAGAUAAAAUAAGGAGAACAACCUAGAUGGGACAUACUAUUUCCUUCUGGCAUGAACUGGACCCCGAUGUGUAUGGUACAGCGAUGUGUUUUCUUUGUUCUACUUAAGAGCAUCCUUUUGAGAAAUAGGAAGGUUGUUUUCAGCCCGACUCCGGGUACGUUUGGGUACAGAAAUGUGCCCAAGAAGAGGAAGAUAUGUAUAAAUUCUUAUGUGAGUGUUAUGAUAUCACUGAUAUCCACUCCUCUUCAUCCAUUUAUACAAGAGCAGAACACACACUGGAAAAGCAGAGGCAGGAGGAUGACUGUUUGAGUCUAGUCCUGGGCUACAAAAAGAGCUCCAGGCCAGCCUGGGCUACAAUGUGAAACACUGUCUCAAAAAAAAAAAAACAAAAACAAAAACAAAAAAUAAAUGAAAGUAAAGAGCAAAGCACAUCCUGAGACCCCAGCAAGUGUAG
ensembl:lncRNA